rnacentral:rRNA from 1 species
ACUGUCAGGACGAACGCUGGCUGCGUGCUUAACACAUGCAAGUCGAACGCUGAAGCCGACAGCUUGCUGUUGGUGGAUGAGUGGCGAACGGGUGAGUAACACGUGAGUAACCUGCCCCUGAUUUCGGGAUAAGCCUGGGAAACCGGGUCUAAUACCGGAUACGACCACCUGACGCAUGUCGGGUGGUGGAAAGUUUUUCGAUCGGGGAUGGGCUCGCGGCCUAUCAGCUUGUUGGUGGGGUAAUGGCCCACCAAGGCGACGACGGGUAGCCGGCCUGAGAGGGCGACCGGCCACACUGGGACUGAGACACGGCCCAGACUCCUACGGGAGGCAGCAGUGGGGAAUAUUGCACAAUGGGGGAAACCCUGAUGCAGCGACGCAGCGUGCGGGAUGACGGCCUUCGGGUUGUAAACCGCUUUCAGCAGGGAAGAAGCGAAAGUGACGGUACCUGC